AUUUCGGUCUUUUCAGGAGGACGUGAAAGAUUCCAAGACACUUUAGAGGAGAACAAGGAAGAUAUCCAUGACAGAGGCUGAAGAAGCACUUCCGGUCAAAAUGACGCCAAGCUGCUGUCACCUUCGAGCUGAGAAUAUGUCUGGAUGAACAAAGGGCUCUGAUGUGGAGUUGAGUGAAGGGUACUUGCAAUGUUGACUGAGCAACAACGGAUGAAAGACAGUCUGAAUGGUGACUUUCGGGAGCUGGAAUUUACUUACAGAGGAGGAGAAGAUGGCGGUGCGACGCAGCUUACGCGGCCACUCCGGUGAAUGAUAUCUGUAAUCUGUCAAGUAGGGUGCGGUGCACAAUCCUGAUUUGGUGGAGACAGAUGUGAGAGAACGGAGGAACAUCUGGAGAAACUUCUGAAAUGCCUUUUUCGCUGCCGCUGUUACUGUGUGAUCCAGAGUCUUUGGAGGGGAAUGUCCCGAAUCCUUGGCUUUGCUUGUUGCUCGGUGGCCGGGAUGGGGUCGAAGCGCUUGACAGAGAUGGUGCUCAGUGCUCGGUGUUGAAGGUCUGGCCAGAGUCUCAAAGUUUUCAGAUGGACUCAGAGUCGGCUGGUGUUGGGUGCUUCCAAUGCAUCAACAGUUGUCGGUGCCUGGUGGUUUAUGGCAGAGAGAGUUUCUCCCUUCUGCUGCCUGCUAUCGGGGACUAUCGGGAGUUGAUUGGAACUUUGAGACUUUUUUUUAACUGUUCCCAUGGUUUGCUCUUUAUCAAAUUAUGGUAUUGCUUUGCACUGCUGUAACUAUAUGUUAUAAUUAUGUGGUCUUGUCAGUGUUAGUCUUUGGUUUGUCUUGUUUUUUUUGUGAUAUCA